rnacentral:tRNA from 1 species
GGGCAUAUAACUCAGCGGUAGAGUGCUGUCUUCACACGGCAGAAGUCACAGGUUCAAAUCCUGUUAUGCCCACCA